UAGAGUUUGAUCAUGGCUCAGAUUGAACGCUGGCGGUAUGCUUUACACAUGCAAGUCGAACGGCAGCACAGGUGCUUGCACCUGGUGGCGAGUGGCGAACGGGUGAGUAAUAUAUCGGAACAUGUCCGGAAGUGGGGGAUAGCUCGGCGAAAGCCGGAUUAAUACCGCAUAUGCCCUGAGGGGGAAAGGGGGGGAUCGCAAGACCUCUCGCUUUCGGAGUGGCCGAUAUCGGAUUAGCUAGUAGGUGAGGUAAAGGCUCACCUAGGCGACGAUCCGUAGCUGGUCUGAGAGGACGACCAGCCACACUGGAACUGAGACACGGUCCAGACUCCUACGGGAGGCAGCAGUGGGGAAUUUUGGACAAUGGGGGAAACCCUGAUCCAGCCAUACCGCGUGAGUGAAGAAGGCCUUCGGGUUGUAAAGCUCCUUCAGCCGGAAAGAAAUCGCACUGGUUAAUACCUUGUGUGGAUGACGGUACCGGAAGAAGAAGCACCGGCUAACUACGUGCCAGCAGCCGCGGUAAUA
rnacentral:rRNA from 1 species